AAUAAAAACAAAAUAAAGGGCGGCGGGGCUGGUGCUCGUCGAGAGAACGAGAGCGGCGUGGCGGAGAGAACGAGGGCGGUGGGGCUGGUGCUCGGCGGAGAGAACGAGGGCGGCGGGGCUGGUUUUCGGUGGAGAGAAAGAGGGCGGCGUUGCCGGUGCAAGGCGGAGAGAAUGACGGAGGCAGCGCUGGUGCUUGAUGGAGAGGAAGAGCGCGGCGCUGGUGCUUGACGGAGAGGAAGAGGCGGAGCGGGUGGUGGUUGACGGAGAAUCGAGGGUAGUGUUAGUGGGAGAAAAGCAAAAGGCAGAAAAAAUAGUGGGGAGCGGCGUGAGGACUUAGGUGAGAAGAUGAGAAUGAGAGGGUAAUACAAUU
rnacentral:lncRNA from 1 species